UGACACGGCAUUCCCUGUUACCCACUCUUUGCUGUAGCUGUGCCUUCACUUGUCUCUGAGCACAGAGUGGGGGGCCAGCCCCAGCCCUGCCCUUGGGGUGCUUACAGUGGGCCCCAGGUAGCUGCAGGCCUCAGAGAUCUCAGCUGUCAGAAUCUCAGAACACAGGAGCUGAAAGGGCCCAAGAGCAAGUCUGUCCCCUGCUUUUUAUUGGAGAGGUGAUGGAGUAAGCGAUAGGGCCAUCACUGGGACCCAGGGCUCCUGCCCCUGACAGCAGUGUCAUCUGGUAGGAGCGUUAAGCUGCCCCACAGUCUGGCAGUUACAUCAGCCCCCACCAAAGGACCUAGAUCACCUCCUGGAGAAGCCUGAGGGAGAUGGGUUCUUGAUGAAGGUAGACUUAAUUCUCACUAGGCUUGAUUCUGACUGGUUUCCAAAGCAAAUGGCUUUCCUUGCCCAAGCCAAAAGCAGGAGACAGGAAACACCCAAGGAUGUUUAUUGCUGUCCUGCUUAACCACACUGUGGGACUCCCGAAUGAUCAGUUACCUUGUGAAAUGCUUCUUUCUCUAGAUGGACAAAAAUGUCCCUUGGAUACUAAAACGGCCAUCUUCCCUGGCUUUUUGAGAUCAUGCUCUCAGAAAUUAGAAGACUUGGGUUCUGCUUCCAGACUUUCUCUGACACUGCUGGGGCAGGAAAAUGGGAGAGAGACACUAUUUUAUUACAGCGAGGUGGAGAUGGAAGACCAGGCUCUUCACUUGGCCUCCACUGACACCUGAGAUUGGGGCUCCUUAUCACUGCUGGGCCGGGAUGGGAGUUCUAAGUCUCCACUGUGCCUCCACUGACAACCUCCUGGCUCGGUGAGUAUGCUCAAGGACCAUGAUCAGCUGACUCCUGGAGGUUUUCAUUUAUCAGAUUGAUGUACAACUCUGACAGGUAACCAGGAGGAAUGAAGUCCAGCAUGAAUUUGGCCCCCAUCAGAUGUGUAGAAGAGCCAGGGGAUGAGGGUCUAGAGAGGGAACAACUGAUGAAUAAAAAAGCUCC
rnacentral:lncRNA from 1 species